AGGGAGUUCAGAUCUGGAUCUUCUCGUGUGCUCAUCACCACUGACCUGCUGGCCCGUGGUAUUGAUGUGCAGCAAGUCUCCCUUGUCAUCAACUACGACCUGCCAACUCAGCCCGAGAACUACCUCCAUCGCAUUGGUCGUAGUGGUCGGUUCGGGAGGAAGGGAGUUGCCAUCAACUUUGUCACCCGUGAAGAUGAGAGGAUGCUGUUCGACAUCCAGAAGUUCUACAACGUGGUCAUUGAGGAGCUCCCGGCCAAUGUCGCUGACCUGCUCUAGAUUAUAUCUUAGGAAUGCAGUAAGGUGCUUGAUAAAGUUCGUUUUUGUUGAAUAUCUCCCAACUCUCAGUUUUGGAGUGGUAAGGUCUGGGUCUGUUUGAAUCGUCGUUAAGGAUGGUCUGAGUUUUUCUUGUUAUGCAAUGUCCGGAAAUUUUUGUAGUGCGUAGGCUGUGCCAUCUCCUGGGCUAGCUGGGAUAGAGUAACUCUCAUAAGUAUUUUACUUUUCGUUGUGAAGUUAUUUUAUUGCGCAUCUGUUUUUGCAUGCUCGAGCUCACAUCUUUUUCCUUCUAUCAUGUAUGAUCGAGUAAAAUUGA
rnacentral:lncRNA from 1 species